GGCACACGCUGGGCUAUUCGAUGAUUAGACUUGUGUUUCUCUUUUGAUUCUCUUCUUUUCUCUUCCCUCCUCCUCCCCCAUCCUUUUCCUUCUUCCUUUGGCGUUGGUGGGGGCGGGAGGGAUGAGGUGUUAGGGAAGUGAGCAAGGCACCCUGAAAACAGCCCCCCGAUUCUACACAGUCAGAGUGGGGCCUGUGAGUGCACGCCGGGCAGAAGGGACAGACGUCCUGGGAAGCAGGCUUGGGGGUUUCAGUUCUGGGAAGGAGGUUGGAUUGAGUGGCCUUGAAGCUUCCUUCCCUUCCUCAGACACUGAGGGUCCUGGGGAGUUGUGUGGCUUUGCUCAUUCCAUGGUGAAGAUGCUCUGAGGGAGAGUUUCGCUCUUGUUGCCCAGGCUGGAGUGCAGUGGCACUAUCUCGGCUCACCGCAACCUCUGCCUCCCGGGUUCAAGCAAUUCUCCUGCCUCAGCCUCCCGAGUAGUUGGAAUUACAGGUAUGCACCACCACACCUGGCUAAUUUUGUAUUUUUAGUAGAGACGGGGUUUCUCCAUAUUGGUCAGGCUGGUCUCGAACUCCCAACCUCAGAUGAUCUGCCCGCGUUGGCCUCCCAAAGUGCUGGGAUUACAGGCAAGAGCCUGGGAAACUUCACCCUUACUCUAUCUCAAACCAUGCCAGCCUGGCAGUGUCCAGUGUGUCGGCUGGUGGCCCCAUCCACACAAUGGCCUCGUCCCCUCCCUUAGGGUCUUCUCUGUCUCCUGUGGGUCCCAUCAGUCAAUGCCUAGUCACCCUAUAAAUCUAACUUUCUAUACUAACCCCAGCCCCCUAGACCUUAGAAGUACGUGGAGCUUUUGCUUUCUUUGUUUUAUAAAACCAGGCCUGCCAUUCAGCUAACUUAGUUAAGCUGGAA
rnacentral:lncRNA from 1 species